CCUACGGGAGGCAGCAGUGGGGAAUAUUGCGCAAUGGGCGAAAGCCUGACGCAGCGACGCCGCGUGAGGGAUGAAGGUCUUCGGAGCGUACACCCUUGUCAGCAGGGAAGAACGGUCACUGUGCUAAUCAGCAGUGAAUUGACGGUACCUGCAAAGGAAGCACCGGCUAACUCCGUGCCAGCAGCCGCGGUAAUACGGUGGGUGCGUGCGUUCAUCGGAAUUACUGUGCGGGAAGCGGUGGUAGGCGGGAUGUCAAGGCAAGGGUGAAAUCCCCGCGCUCAACGUGGGAACUGCCUUUGAAACUGGCGAACUUGAGUGUGUGAGAGGAUAGUGGAAUUCCAGGUGUAGGAGUGAAAUCCGUAGAUAUCUGGAGGAACAUCAGUGGCGAAGGCAACUAUCUGGCACAUAACUGACGCUGAGGAGCGAAAGCGUGGGUAGCAAACAGGAUUAGAUACCCUUGUAGUC
rnacentral:rRNA from 1 species